rnacentral:lncRNA from 1 species
UGCAGAGUGACAAUGACAGUGGAUACAAAGUGACUCAGCCCAGGGUCUGAGCAGAGCGGUCCUGGGCUCAGGCUGGAAGGCAAAGGAGUUGGGGCCAAACCGAGAGCGAGCCCCACGUUGUCCUCCACCCUCUCACUGGCACCUCCACAGGGCUGGGGAGUCAUCUUUGAGGACAGCAGCGCCUCGUCAGCCUGGAUCCGAGGCCUUGUGGAGGAAGUCCUUCCACGCACCCUUCUGCUUCAGAAUCAGGAUACUGUUUGUGAAGGUUUUGUGCCUUACAAGGGUAACUGGUUGGAGGUUGUGUAUUCCAUGGAGCCAGGCACAUCCCACAUCAAAGCAAACUCAGUGAAGCCCAUGAACUCUAGGUAUGUGGAUGAGGUCAGCAUUACUAGUGUCCAUGGAAGACAUGGGGUGAUGACAAAAAAAUCUUUUUCACCUUGGAUUCACUGAAACUCCCUGCUGGUUAUGUACCUCAACGAUAUGAUGUCGUCAACGUGGUCGUAGUGGAGAGUACUACUCAGUUCUGCUAUUUGUGGAAGGCAGUUUCUAUGACCCACAGGUGUUUUUUCCAGCAUUGUUUGUUGUUCUACAUAACCAAUUGUUGUUUGGUACCAGGGAUCGAACUCGGGACCUUGCGCUUUCGAGGCAGGCGCCAGAACCACUGAGCUAAAUCCCCCGCCCCAACCCGCAGGUGUUCUAUGGCUCACAGGUGUUAAUAACCCAGCCUUUCAUUUUCUGUUUGUCCUUACUUCUAUGGGCAGUCAAGUGCCUGGUUCAGUGGAAAAGCUUUGCUUAGUGAGCUUAAACAAUAUGUUAAAUAUAAAUUUUCUUGUAAACACACUAGGUAGUUCCCUUGGGAGAAUGAGCCAGCUCUAGGGAAGUACCUUAUUAAUUCAAAAACAUGCUAAAGCUGGCUCUUGAUUGUAAGAACAAAAACCACUGCCAUUCAGUUAAAUUCCUUCUUUUCCCUGUCCAGAAGCAGACUCGAUGCUGGGAGGGACUUAAGGCUCUCAAGUAAUGUGCAGAGUUGGAAGGCUUAACAGGUGGCGGGGCCAGCACGGAAACGGGGAGAAUCGCCUACCCUUCAAGUUUCAGUCCCGCUUAUGCUUUCUGGCCGAUUUUCAUUUGUCCAUACCAUUGUUCAUCUCUGCCUGCUUAUUCAAGUUUAUAAAGUUAGUGGCUCCAUAUGUCCCUUCUUCUCCAUGCUAGAUUGUAAGCUCCGUAACAGUCGGGUGUAUUCUUUUUCAUUAACUCAAUGGUAAGCACUUAGAAGAACACCUGUUAUAUACCAGGGCAGAGUUAAGGUUGUUAAGUUCAAUAAAUCCAUUGUCC